GAAGGGCUGGGAGAGGCCUCGUGGAGGAGGAAGAGUUUCGCUCAGCUGCUUGGGUGUGGGACUGAAUGUGGUUCCAGAACUGGUCGCUGCCUUCACCCGCUGACUCUGGUCUCGGCGAUGACAGUAUUUUUCCCUCUCCACCCUGGUCUUCUCCUGUAACGUGUGGCCGCCUUUUCCAGCACGGCCUCCUGCCUUCCUGGUGCACUUUUUGGAGAACGUGGUGGAAUCAGAGGUUUCUGGCUGACUCGGUGGGUGCUUUGAACCAGGAAAGGACAAGAAAGAGGAUGGGAAGGACUGAUCCACAUUCCCACCAGGAAGUUUAGCAGAACCCCCGCGUGCCACCUGGACCCCUUGGAAGGACCUGGCUCAGGCUGGACCACCUCUUGAGAGGCAGGAGCUCUGGAUUUGAUCAAGAAUUCUUUGCUGAGCAUGGUGCCUCAUGCCUAUAAUCCCAACACUUUGGGAGGCCAGUGUGGGAGGAUCUCUUGAGCCCAGGAGUUCAAGACUAGCCUGGGCAACACAGAGAGACCCCAUCUCUAAAAUAAUAAUAAUAAUAAAAUAAAAAAUUAGCAGGGCAUGGUGGCAUGUGCCUGUAGUCCCAGCUACCCAGGAGGCUGAGGCAAGAGGAUGGCUGGAGCCUGGGAUGUUGAGGCUGCAAUGAACUGUGAUUACCCCACUGCACUCCAGCCUGGGCAAAAGAGCGAGAGACCCUGUCUCAAAUAAUAAUAAUAAUAAUAAUCUUAUUUUGGAGAAUAAAGAGACCUCUGGAUUUGAGGUGCCAUUUGGGUAGAAAGAAAAGACGUUUACACCGAGAAAUAGUCUGUGUUGCCCUGAAGGAGCAGAGGGAUGCAUCGCUGGAGGUGACCUACAGUUGAAGAAGACUCAUUAUGACAGACCUUGUCCUUCUUCCUUGUGGAAAGUGUUUCCUCUGCUGCUACUGCUCAUGAGACUCUUCCCCCUCCCUGUCCCAGGGAACCAAAGGGCUUUCUACCACACCCUUUCUUGCCCCCCGCCUCCCAUGUCUGCUGUGCCUUUGUACUCAGCAAUUCUUGUUUGCUCCAUUAUCUUCCAGCCGGAUACAGAGUGAAUAGUUAACCACACUUAGGUCAAAUAGGAUCUAAAUUUUUGUUCCUGCUCCGUGUAAAGAGGCCAGUGUUUGUGUGUUGCAAGCAGCCUUGGAAUAGUAACUCUUCUCAUUUGUUUGGGAUCUGGCCACCAAGUUCCAGAAUGAUACACGGAUCAGUGCAGAAGUUCAUCAGGCUCUCGGACCUUAGGGCUGUUGGAGAAGGCUUCAGCAGCAGAACUGAUGGUGAAGGCUCGUGUUCUCCAUCCUCAACUUUCUUUGCUUCGAUCAUACACAAGAAUACAUUUGGAAGGGCAAAAAAUGAACACUGUCGUUCAUUGCAGCCGUGUUUUGUGACACAGAUGCACAGUCUGCUGUGAAGACCUUCUCUCAAGUGGCAUUUGGGAGUCCAUGCCAGAUCAUGGUGCUUCAUGAGAGACUGACAGCUAUCAGGGGUUGUGGCACUUAGUGAGGACUCUCCUCCCCCAGUGUGUGCUGAUGACACAUACACACCUGACAAUAGCUUGAGUCUUCUCUGUUCCUUUUACUCUGUAGCCAACAUACACAUGAUUUAAAACCCUUUCUAAAUAUCUAUCAUGGUUCAUCCUUGUCCAAAUGCAGAGUCAGAGCUAUUUGUACUUCAUUAUUAUUUCCAAGGCGAAUAGUUGGCUUUCUUUUUGCAAAAAUAAUUAAAGUUUUUGUAUGUUGCA
rnacentral:lncRNA from 1 species